AAUAGAUACCCUGGUAGUCCACGCCGUAAACGAUGAGUGCUAAGUGUUAGAGGGUUUCCGCCCUUUAGUGCUGCAGCUAACGCAUUAAGCACUCCGCCUGGGGAGUACGGUCGCAAGACUGAAACUCAAAGGAAUUGACGGGGGCCCGCACAAGCGAUGGAGCAUGUGGUUUAAUUCGAAGCAACGCGAAGAACCUUACCAGGUCUUGACAUCCCACUGACCGGUAUAGAGAUAUACCUUUCCCUUCGGGGACAGUGGUGACAGGUGGUGCAUGGUUGUCGUCAGCUCGUGUCGUGAGAUGUUGGGUUAAGUCCCGCAACGAGCGCAACCCUUGAUCUUAGUUGCCAGCAUUUAGUUGGGCACUCUAAGGUGACUGCCGGUGACAAACCGGAGGAAGGUGGGGAUGACGUCAAAUCAUCAUGCCCCUUAUGACCUGGGCUACACACGUGCUACAAUGGAUGGUACAAAGGGCUGCAAGACUGCGAAGUCAAGCCAAUCCCAUAAAACCAUUCUCAGUUCGGAUUGCG
rnacentral:rRNA from 1 species